GAUCAUGGCUCAGAGUGAACGCUGGCGGUAGGCCUAACACAUGCAAGUCGAACGGCAGCACAGUAAGAGCUUGCUCUUACGGGUGGCGAGUGGCGGACGGGUGAGGAAUACAUCGGAAUCUACUUUUUCGUGGGGGAUAACGUAGGGAAACUUACGCUAAUACCGCAUACGACCUACGGGUGAAAGCAGGGGAUCUUCGGACCUUGCGCGAUUGAAUGAGCCGAUGUCGGAUUAGCUAGUUGGCGGGG
rnacentral:rRNA from 1 species